rnacentral:rRNA from 1 species
GAUGAACGCUGGCGGCAUGCCUAAUACAUGCAAGUCGAACGAGAGGAAGGAAAGCUUGCUUUUCUGAAUCUAGUGGCGAACGGGUGAGUAACACGUAGGUAACCUGCCCAUGUGCCCGGGAUAACUUCUGGAAACGGAUGCUAAAACCGGAUAGGUAGCAGACAAGCAUUUGACUGCUAUUAAAGUGGCCUUGGCCAUGAACAUGGAUGGACCUGCGGUGCAUUAGCUGGUUGGUGAGGUAACGGCCCACCAAGGCGACGAUGCAUAGCCGGCCUGAGAGGGCGGACGGCCACAUUGGGACUGAGACACGGCCCAAACUCCUACGGGAGGCAGCAGUAGGGAAUUUUCGUCAAUGGGGGGAACCCUGAACGAGCAAUGCCGCGUGAGUGAGGAAGGUCUUCGGAUCGUAAAGCUCUGUUGUAAGAGAAAAACGGCACUCAUAGGGAAUGAUGAGUGAGUGAUGGUAUCUUACCAGAA